rnacentral:rRNA from 1 species
ACCCAAUAUUCUGGGAUAACCCUUGGGAAACUGGGGAUAAUACCGGAUGGAUCAUCUUUGCUGGAAGGCUUGGUGGUUGAAACGCGAGGCUGUUGGAUGGGUCUGCGGCUGAUUAGGUUGUUGCCGGUGUAAUGUACCGUCAAGCCUGUAAUCAGUACGGGUUGUGGGAGCAAGAGCCCGGAGAUGGAUUCUGAGACACGAAUCCAGGCCCUACGGGGCGCAGCAGGCGCGAAAACUCUACAAUGCAGGCAACUGCGAUAGGGGAACAUCGAGUGGCGUCCAUAUUGGAUGUCUGUCCACCCGCCUAAAAAGCGGGUGUUAGCAAGGGCCGGGCAAGACCGGUGCCAGCCGCCGCGGUAAUACCGGCGGCUCGAGUGGUGGCCGAUAUUAUUGAGUCUAAAGGGUCCGUAGCCGGCUUUGCAAGUCUCUCGGGAAAUCCAGCGGCUUAACCGUUGGGCGUCUGGGGGCUACUACAUUGCUUGGGACUGGGAGAGGCGAGAGGUACUCAGGGGGUAGGAGUGAAAUCCUGUAAUCCUUUGGGGACCACCGGUGGCGAAGGCGUCUCGCCAGAACAGGUCCGACGGUGAGGGACGAAAGCUAGGGGCACGAACCGGAUUAGAUACCCGGGUAGUCCUAGCCGUAAACGAUGCUCGCUAGGUGUCACAACAGUCGUGAACUGUUGUGGUGCCGUAGGGAAGCCGUGAAGCGAGCCACUUGGGAAGUACGACCGCAAGUUGAA